rnacentral:pre_miRNA from 1 species
UUUCAUGGAUGAGCAAAGAAAGUUGUUUCUUGAGAUGGAAUGUAUUCCUGGUGUAGAUUCUGUAAA